CGCUAAUAGUAUCAGCGGCGAGUAAUCACCUUUUAUUAGAGGCGGAUCCCGCCGCUAAUAAUAUUAAUGACGACGGGAGAAACUAAUAGCAGCGGGUCCCGCCGCUAAUGCUUAUGAAUACAAAUCAAAUUGGCACCAACUCUUCGCGUCUGUUCUCCUUUCUUCUUCUCCGAUUUCUUCGUCUUCUCCGACUGUCAUUCGCACCAUUUCUUCUUCUCCGAUCAUUCUCUUUGGUGCACAGAGAAGUAGCAUGUAACCCCGUCAAAUCAAUCUCUCUCUCUUUGGUCGUUUCCAUCAUUUGGCCACACACGGUUGUGCCAGCCACAAACCAGCCCCGCCGACGAGAAGAAAAUGUCGUGGCCCUGCUAGUAAUAAUGUUCUUGAAGAACGAAGGAAAAAAGCUGGGAAACCAUUGGAUCUGGAGCUUGAUCCUGUGACCAACAAAGUGGUUGGGCAGGAGGAUCAAGCUUUUAUUCGCAUGUUGGGAACUCUAGUUUCCAUUUUGUGUCCGGGGCAUUAUUUGGAUUUUGCUGAUGUACCUCAACAGUUUAAGGAUCA